AGACAGAAGUGUGAAACAACAAUCUCAAGGUAGGUCCAACAUUUUCUUGAUAUGUCUUUAGUGACCUCUUUCCAGGUUUGAAAGGGAUUAACCUUGUGAAGAUCUCUGCCGUUGUCCCAUUCUUUGAAGACGGGUGAAAGAGAAUCAUUACAUUUAUCAUUUGUCAAGUUCAAGAAAGCGAAUCAGAACAAAAAGUCUCAUGAGAGGAGUCAGAGAGAGAGAGAGAGGAAUUUCAUGGAAACAGCUUAGUUCCUCUGAUGGAAGGAAACACUGAAUGUACAAAAUGGGAAAGAAGAAAAGAUAAAUAAGGGAAACGGAAAGGAAAGAAAGGUCCUGCCACUCAGACCAGUCACAGAACUUGGGAUAAAUUAUGUGAAGGAUAUAUGGAUUACCAGGAAAUAAAGAAUUUAUACUCCAUCCACUCUGCACACAAAAUAUAUGGUAAGGUUGGAAGCGGAAAGGUAAGAAACAGCCUUCCAUUCUAGAACAGCAAGUCUGACAUUUUAAAAAGAGAUGGGAACAAGCAAUUCAGCAGAUGAGAUAAAGUAUUUCAGUAUCUCCAAUUCCCAAAGUCCAUCCCCUAGAUUUCAAGCUUCAAAACCCAGCAAACAUAUAACAAAAUUGUGAUAUAAGGUAAAGAACAAGACUU